rnacentral:rRNA from 1 species
GAAUCUGGGGGAUAGCCCGCCGAAAGGCGGAUUAAUACCGCAUAAAACUGCAGCUUGGCAUCAAGUAACAGUUAAAGAUUUAUUGGAUUCAGAUGGGGUUGCGUGCCAUUAGCUAGUUGGGGAGGUAACGGCUCACCAAGGCGACGAUGGCUAGGGGAGCUGAGAGGCUGGUCCCCCACACGGGCACUGAGAUACGGGCCCGACUCCUACGGGAGGCAGCAGUAGGGAAUAUUGGGCAAUGGACGAGAGUCUGACCCAGCCAUGCCGCGUGCAGGAUGAAGGCUUUCUGAGUCGUAAACUGCUUUUAUCAGGGAAGAAAAAAGGGNNUGCGNNCUCUACUGACGGUACCUGAUGAAUAAGCACCGGCUAACUCCGUGCCAGCAGCCGCGGUAAUACGGAGGGUGCAAGCGUUGUCCGGAUUUAUUGGGUUUAAAGGGUGCGUAGGCGGUUCUUUAAGUCCGGGGUGAAAGCCCACUGCUCAACAGUGGAACUGCCCUGGAAACUGGCGAACUUGAGUACAGACGAGGGUGGCGGAAUGGAUACUGUAGCGGUGAAAUGCAUAGAUAGUAUCCAGAACACCGAUUGCGAAGGCAGCUGCCUAGACUGUAACUGACGCUGAGGCACGAAAGCGUGGGGAGCGAACAGGAUUAGAUACCCUGGUAGUCCACGCCGUAAACGAUGGAUACUCGCUGGUGGCGAUAGA